rnacentral:lncRNA from 1 species
ACCUGCGCGCGCAACCACGCCCGGCAAAGGAGCGGAACGGCCGGUGUCCUCCCGCCAGCUUUUAUACUGCGCUAUUUUAGUCGCGCGCUCUGAUUGGCCAUCCAUGGUGACGACACGCCUGGACGCCGAAAGGUGGAGGAGAGACUGGGCGGAUGUGAGCUUCCGGCUGCCGGGGUUUCUCUAUGGAGUCCUGACUGUUCUGGAGUUUGCUAUGUAGUCCAGGCUGGCCAAAAAUUCACAAAGAUCUGCUUCGGCCUUUCGUGUGCUGGGAUUACUGGCAUGUGCUCCCACACUCAGACGCUUUUUUGUUGAAGAAUACAACUCAACCCAUAAAGAAGGAUGACUUUGGACCUGGAGUCACAGAGGGAAGAGAACAUGAAGAAACAGGGAGAAGACAGCCAUCUCCAAGAAAGUGAGCUUGACUGGAGCAACCCUGGCACAGGCCUUGGCAUCAACUCAUUCACUCCAGAAACCACUUGGAAGACUUAGACAGGAGGCUUGCUUGCUUGAGUUCUUGAGUUGGAGGUUGGUGUAGAUAAAACAGUAAGAUUCAAUCUCAAAAACAAAUAAGUUAAAUAAACAGAAAGAGACGAGAAGGAAGAAGGAAAGGAGAAAACAGAAAGAAAGAAGGGAAAGGAAGCCAAGGAUGUUUCGUGGCCCAGUUGAUAGAGUGGAGCUCAAAUGGAAAACCCAACUUUCUCAAAGCUGAAAGCAACUGUGUUAUGCAGACAAUACAAAAAUUGUGAUUUUCACUUUAGUUUGUUUCAGACUUUGGUGUUAUGAACAAUAUAAGGCUUGAUGACUUAAAAAAAUGUAUUGAAACAGUUUUUAUAAGAGGUAUCCAGGUCCACUUGAAAUAUCUCCAUGGAGCUGGGGAAAUAACUCCCAGGUCCAUUGUUCGCCUAAGAUGGAAGAGGUCCUAUGUUCAAUCCUUGACACCAAAGUUUGAAUACGACACUGCGACAUUAUGAACUUUACAAGUGUGGGAACCUACUAAAAGUUAUACUCAACCCUGGAUGCCAUCCAAAGCACAACUGAAGACUCAGGUAUUUCUUAAUCUACAAACGAAAUGCUCCCUCCCCAGGGCCUCUGCGCUUAUCAUCCCAUCGAUGAAAUUAUGGGAUGACUUUUGCUCAAAUUAUUCAAGCUUCUGAACUUAGAAUCGGACAUUUUUACAAUGCUCUGUUAUGACUGUAUAGAUUCUGUAGUUCACUAGACCAGAUAACAGCGUGCCCUGUAAUGAGGCUCUCCCUUAUCUUGAAAAAAUGCAAACACAACAAAUAGGCACGGAGUUAGAACAUGGACAUUUUAUCUUUUGUUUUUAUUGAGGUCUCCAUGUAUAGACCACCCCGUUCUCUGCUCCCGUGCUCAAGAGAUCCUCCUGCUUCAGACACCAAACAGCUGGCGCUCUAGGAGGCUGGAAGCUGAGGGCCGGCCGCCAUCAGCAUGUGAGGGACCUGCUGGCGCUGGCUUUCCUCCCAAACUGCUUGCCUAAGCUUUGUCCCUUUCUCCUUAUCUGGCUGCAUCUCUCUCACAACAGAAGGGGACUUGGAGUGCACUCUUUAUUGCCCUCAGGAAUGUCAGCUCUUUAUUCUUUGACCUCAUCAUACUUUGGACCUCUCUCAGGUUGUUUAUGUACAUCUGAUUCCCAGCCCUUUCACUGGAUGGAAGAUUUAAAUUCAGUAAUAAACUUCCCACAUCUCCAGAUGUA